rnacentral:rRNA from 1 species
AGUGAACGCUGGCGGCGUGCUUAACACCUGCAAGUCGCACGAGAACGGAUUAUAGCUUGCUAUAAUUGUCAGCUAAGUGGCGCACGGGUGAGUAAAGUAUAGGUAAGAUGCCUCUUACUAAGUGAUAACAAAUGGAAACGUUUGCUAAUUCCUUAUACUCCUUAUUAACAGAAGUUAAUAAGGGAAAGAUUUAUUGGUAAGAGAUUAGCCUGUAUUGUAUCAGUAAGUUGGUGGGGUAAUGGCUUACCAAGACUAUGACACAUAACUGGUUUGAGAGGAUGAUCAGUCAAAAUGGAACUGAGACACGGUCCAUUCUCCUACGGGAGGCAGCAGUGGGGAAUAUUGCACAAUGGACGAGAGUCUGAUGCAGCAACGCCGCGUGGAGGAUGACACAUUUCGGUGCGUAAACUCCUUUUAUAUGAGAGGAUAAUGACGGUAUUAUAUGAAUAAGCACCGGCUAACUCCGUGCCAGCCGCCGCCGUAA